rnacentral:misc_RNA from 1 species
GAUGAAGAACGUAGCGAAAUGCGAUAAGUAGUGUGAAUUGCAGAAUUCAGUGAAUCAUCGAAUCUUUGAACGCACAUUGCGCCCCUUGGUAUUCCAUGGGGCAUGCCUGUUCGAGCGUCAUUUGUACCUUCAAGCUUUGCUUGGUGUUGGGUGUUUGUCCUGAGGGACUCGCCUUAAAGUAAUUGGCAGCCAGUGUUUGGUUUUGAAGCGCAGCACAAGUCGCGAUUCAAGGCUAUACACCAGCUUCCACAAGCCUUUUUCACUUUUGACCUCGGAUCAGGUAGGGAUACCCGCUGAACUUAAGCAUACAAUAAGCGGAGGA